rnacentral:rRNA from 1 species
UCAGACACGUCAGAGUUUGAUCCUGGCUCAGGAUGAACGCUAGCUACAGGCUUAACACAUGCAAGUCGAGGGGAAACGGCGGAGGAGCUUGCUUCUUCGGACGUCGACCGGCGCACGGGUGAGUAACGCGUAAAGAACUUGCCUCUUAGACCGGGACAACAUCUGGAAACGGAUGCUAAUACCGGAUAUUAUGGUUUCUUCGCAUGGAGGAAUCAUGAAAGCUAGAUGCGCUAAGAGAGAGCUUUGCGUCCCAUUAGCUGGUUGGUGAGGUAACGGCCCACCAAGGCAAUGAUGGGUAGCCGGCCUGAGAGGGUGAACGGCCACAAGGGGACUGAGACACGGCCCUU